AAACCGUCCCCUAAGUUUUGCAACUGUAGCAGUUUUGGCCCCUAAGGUCAAUUUUUGGUAAAAAAAAUAAAUAAAAAAAUUACAUGUGGCAAAUCACUUAGGGUGCCACAUCACCGUAGACUGAGUCAAAAUUGGCCUUGGAGGCCAAAACUGCCACAGAUGCAAAAUGUAGGGGACGGUUU
rnacentral:pre_miRNA from 1 species